AGCAGGAUGGCCGAGUGGUUAUGGCAUCAGACCCACAAUCUGAUUCGCAUUCGCGAACGUGGGUUCGAAUCCCGCUCCUGCGC